AGAGUUUGAUUCUGGCUCAGGAUGGACGCUGGCGGCGCGCCUAACACAUGCAAGUCGAACGGUGAGGUCCCUUCGGGGGCUGAUCAGUGGCGGACGGGUGAGUAACGCGUGAGGAACCUGCCCUUAUGAGCGGAAUAACGUCGGGAAACUGACGCUAAUACCGCAUAAUGCAUCACCGGGGCAUCGCGGUGAUGCCAAAGCUUCGGCGCAUAAGGAUGGACUCGCGUCCCAUUAGAUAGUUGGCGGGGCAACGGCCCACCAAGUCAGCGAUGGGUAGCCGGACUGAGAGGUUGAACGGCCACAUUGGAACUGAGAGACGGUCCAGACUCCUACGGGAGGCAGCAGUGGGGAAUAUUGGGCAAUGGGCGGAAGCCUGACCCAGCCGACGCCGCGUGAGCGAAGAAGGUCUUCGGAUUGUAAAGCUCUGUGUACAGGGACGAUAAUGACGGUACCUGUAUAGAAAGCCACGGCUAACUACGUGCCAGCAGCUGC
rnacentral:rRNA from 1 species